rnacentral:rRNA from 1 species
UACGAAGGGGGCUAGCGUUGCUCGGAAUCACUGGGCGUAAAGGGUGCGUAGGCGGGUCUUUAAGUCAGGGGUGAAAUCCUGGAGCUCAACUCCAGAACUGCCUUUGAUACUGAGGAUCUUGAGUACGGGAGAGGUGAGUGGAACUGCGAGUGUAGAGGUGAAAUUCGUAGAUAUUCGCAAGAACACCAGUGGCGAAGGCAGCUCGCUGGGACGUUACCGACGCUGAGACGCGAAAGCGUGGGGAGCAAACAGG